rnacentral:hammerhead_ribozyme from 1 species
AUCCAGAUGACGAGUGCGAAAUAGGACGAAAUGCGCAUCCUGGAU